rnacentral:rRNA from 1 species
GGGGAAUAUUGCACAAUGGGGGAAACCCUGAUGCAGCAACGCCGUGUGAAGGAUGAAGGUUUUCGGAUUGUAAACUUCUUUAGUCAGGGACGAAAAAAAUGACGGUGCCUGAAGAAUAAGCCACGGCUAACUACGUGCCAGCAGCCGCGGCAAUACGUAGGUGGCAAGCGUUGUCCGGAAUUACUGGGUGUAAAGGGCGUGUAGGCGGGAAUGUAAGUCAGAUGUGAAAUCCCAGGGCUUAACCCUGGAGCUGCAUCUGAAACUAUGUUUCUUGAGUGCCGGAGACGAGAGCGGAAUUCCUAGUGUAGCGGUGAAAUGCGUAGAUAUUAGGAGGAACACCAGUGGCGAAGGCGGCUUUCUGGACGGUAACUGACGCUGAGGCGCGAAAGCGUGGGGAGCAAAC